rnacentral:rRNA from 1 species
UACGUAGGGGGCAAGCGUUGUCCGGAAUCAUUGGGCGUAAAGAGCGCGUAGGCGGCCCUGUAAGUCCGCUGUGAAAGUCAAGGGCUCAACCCUUGAAUGCCGGUGGAUACUGCAGGGCUAGAGUCCGGAAGAGGCGAGUGGAAUUCCUGGUGUAGCGGUGAAAUGCGCAGAUAUCAGGAGGAACACCGGUGGCGAAGGCGGGUCUCUGGGCAAUAACUGACGCUGAGGAGCGAAAGCGUGGGGAGCGAACAGG